ensembl:lncRNA
GUUCUUAUCCUCAUGUGUUCUGCGUGGAAGAGGGCUGCCUGCAAACAAUAAGACAUUGUGCAAAGGGCAGGGUGUGACUUCCCCCACACAAGACACUAGCUCCAGCUUGCUCUCUCUGGGACACUUUGUAGGACACUCUGUGGCAAGACCGAUGAUAGGGACUUGAGGGCCCCUGCUGUUGACCAGGGUUAAUACACCAGUCACACUUGCCAACUUGGAAGCAGAGCCUCCAGCCCUCUUCAAGCCUUCUAUGACAUCCUGACUGCAGUCUCAUGGGAGACCCCCAAACCAGAACCACCUAUCCAGCUGCCGCUGAACUCCUGACCCACGGAAACUGGGUCACAGCGAGCAAACUCCAGAAUCUUCUUGGCCUCAUCCACACAUAUGACAUUGGAAGCCUUUAGGAGCUCAAGACUUUAGGAGCCUUCCUCUCAGGGGGUGCGGAGCCUCAAGUGCGACCACUUCAGAGCACCCACUCUUGGAGGUGGGCCCACCGUGGUUCAGUGGAGGUGCCACCACCACCAUGAAGCCUUCCUAUAUUCCCCCCAGGAUACCGAGCCCUCAGCAGGGUUAACCCCUCCCUGCCCAGGCUCCUCUGCUGACUGCUGGACUCAGUCGAUGGUACCUGGUUGGGCUGGGCUUCUGUUCAGAUGAAUGUAAAGCAAGUGAAGCUGAAGCUUUGGGGACCCUCACUGGCACGACCCCCUUCCAAAGCCAGUCCCUAAUUUUGUAUUCAUGAUCCCCUCAAAUUGUAUACACUUGGGUCCCACAGAGUUGGGUCCACUCCCGUUUUCAUCCCCACCCAGCUUGAGGUCAGAGCCUCUCUCCUGAACAGUUAUGGCAGGCAAUUUCUCCUCCCCUUCCACCUCCCCUAGGCCCCGGUUGGUCUGGCACCUGGGCCAGAUGGACCCAGAGACAAGGUUUCUGCAUCCACCUGCCCCACUUGGGGUCUCUGUGACCUCUGCUGUCCCCUCUUGGGUGACCAGCCCAGGCCUGCUCUCUGGCUCCCAGGUCACUCAUCUGAAACAAAAUUGGACUUCCUCUCUCCCUCUCUUCCCUCCCCAUCCUCCAUACCUGCCCUAGGGGCCUCCCAGGAACGUUGUGGGUCCUUAGUUUGCAAACCCCCAGCUCACAGACCUAGGAGAGGCCUGGGUUCGAAUCCUAGCCCCAUGCCUGGCAGCUGUGUGCCCAGGGGCAUCACCCACUCUUCAUCCUGAGGAGAAGUGCCUUCAAGUCCCUGGCACACAGGGGACUCAGGAAAGGCCCGAGGAUGGCCUUCUGAGACCCUCACACAGGCAGGCCCCUUGGCGGGCAGGGGGCUUCCCCCAGAUG